CAGCCUGCCCAGUGACCACAAGUUCAACGGCCGCGGUAUUUUGACCGUGCAAAGGUAGCGCAAUCACUUGUCUUUUAAAUGAAGACCUGUAUGAAUGGCCAAACGAGGGCUUAGCUGUCUCCCCUCUCAAGUCAGUGAAAUUGAUCUGCCCGUGCAGAAGCGGACAUAUAUAUACAAGACGAGAAGACCCUUUGGAGCUUAAGGUUCAAGCCCAUCCGCGUCAAACAACUUAUUAAAUAAGUAUUAAACCUAACGGAAAGUGGAGCUUUACCUUCGGUUGGGGCGACCGCGGAGAAAAAAUUAUCCUCCGAGUGGACUGGGCUAUAAAGCCUAAAACCAAGAAAGACAUUUCUAGGCCACAGAAAAUCUGACCAACAAUGAUCCGGCUCAUACGCCGAUCAACGGACCAAGUUACCCUAGGGAUAACAGCGCAAUCCUCUCCCAGAGUCCAUAUCGACGAGGGGGUUUACGACCUCGAUGUUGGAUCAGGACAUCCUAAUGGUGCAGCCGCUAU
rnacentral:rRNA from 1 species